AACGAACGCUGGCGGCAGGCCUAACACAUGCAGGUCGAGCGCCCCGCAAGGGGAGCGGCGGACGGGUGAGUAACGCGUGGGAACGUGCCUCUUGCUACGGAAUAGCCUCGGGAAACUGGGAGUAAUACCGUAUGUGCCUUACGGGGGAAAGAUUUAUCGGCAAGAGAUCGGCCCGCGUUGGAUUAGGUAGUUGGUGGGGUAAUGGCCUACCAAGCCGACGAUCCAUAGCUGGUUUGAGAGGAUGAUCAGCCACACUGGGACUGAGACACGGCCCAGACUCCUACGGGAGGCAGCAGUGGGAAUCUUAGACAAUGGCGCAAGCCUGAUCUAGCCAUGCCGCGUGAGCGAUGAAGGCCUUAGGGUUGUAAAGCU
rnacentral:rRNA from 1 species